AGGCUUUGAUCCUGGCUCAGGAUGAACGCUGGCGGCGUGCUUAACACAUGCAAGUCGAACGAAGUCUUCGGACUUAGUGGCGGACGGGUGAGUAACGCGUGAGGAUCUGCCCUUAGGUUGGGGACAACCACUGGAAACGGUGGCUAAUACCCAAUGUGCCGAGAGGUGAAAGGUUAACUGCCUGAGGAUGAACUCGCGUCUGAUUAGCUAGUUGGUGGGGUAAGGGCUCACCAAGGCGACGAUCAGUAGCUGGUCUGAGAGGAUGAUCAGCCACACUGGGACUGAGACACGGCCCAGACUCCUACGGGAGGCAGCAGUGGGGAAUUUUCCGCAAUGGGCGAAAGCCUGACGGAGCAACGCCGCGUGAGGGAGGAAGGCCCUAGGGUUGUAAACCUCUUUUCUCUGGGAAGAAGAUCUGACGGUACCAGAGGAAUAAGCCUCGGCUAACAUCCG
rnacentral:rRNA from 1 species